AUCGCCUCUCUGCCUUCUGGCAAAGAUUAAGGGUAGUAUCUGUUCUUAUUAGUUUCAUGUCUGAUACGCCCCCUAUCUGGGAGCCAUAUAUUAUAUGAAAAUUUAGAACAGGGAGAUGGGUAAAGCGCUUGUUCUGUCCACUCCGCGCUUUAAACGGGUACUGCAGUACUACUAGGACAUUCUCU